UCAGAGGAAACCAGUAUAAUUCAGUUCAGGGACAGGGAGACGGAGAGAGCGGUGUGUUGACAGCAAACAAAGAAUGAACAGCUGUCAGAUCUGUGCUGAAUAAGAUUGAUCAUAUGGUUGACCAUACUACGUCAUACAAUAACCAACUGGACUCGUUUAUGCGACAGGCCGGCAUUUCAAACAACAAGAUGGACAAUAGUUCAGCUUUUUAAUCCUGUAUGCACAUGCACGUGCGCGCUACUUAUGGUGCAGAUAAAAUGGCGCUACCCUUAGGUGAUUCUUCUACUGGCUCAGUUUACUUUCUUCUUCUGUGACCCUGUUUCUUGGAUGUUUUACUCCGAUUAAGGC